ensembl:misc_RNA Metazoa_SRP Metazoan signal recognition particle RNA
GCCGGGCCCGUGGCUGGUGCCUGUGAUCCCAGCAGCGGGGGAGGCUGAGGCCGGCGGAUCGCUUGAGCUCAGGAGUUCUGGGCUGCAGCGGGCUGUGCCGAGCGGGUGUCCGCAUUGAGUUCGGCAUCGAUAUGGGGAUCCCGGGGAAGCUCGGGGUCCCCAGGUUGCCUAAGGAGGGGUGAACCGGCCCAGGCCGGAAACGGAGCAGGUCAAAGCUCCCGUGCCGAUCAGUAGUGGGAUCGCGCCUGUGAAUGGCCCCUGCAGCGUAGCCUGGGCGAGAGAGUGAGACCCGGUCUCUU